rnacentral:lncRNA from 1 species
GGAGUCUCUGUAGGUUCAUACAGCAUCACCUUACUGUCCUGGAGAUGACAGGAGUCUCUGUAGGUCCAUACAGCAUCACCUUACUGUCCUGGAGAUGACAGGUCUUUGUUGCCUCAUGGGGGGGGGAGGAUGAAAGGAAGAUUAGAUGAGUGUCAGACUAUUAGCCAGGAGAGGAAGCGGUUUGGAGAGGUGUAGAGAGAGGGGAGAGUGAGGGGUGUAGAGAGAGGGGAGAGGUGUAGAGAGAGGGGAGAGUGAGAGGUGUAGAGAGAGGGGAGAGUGAGAGGUGUAGAGAGAGGGGAGAGUGAGAGGUGUAGAGAGAGGGGAGAGUGAGAGGUGUAGAGAGAGGGGAGAGUGAGAGGUGUAGAGAGAGGGGAGAGUGAGAGGUGUAGA